ensembl:snRNA U1 U1 spliceosomal RNA
AUAUCAACCAGCCAGGGAGAUGACAACAUCAGGGAGGUAGAUUUCCCAGGGCAAGGCUUAUCAACUGUUGUCUGUGUUGGCCCCCUGAAAUUUCCCCAAAUGUGAGAGACACCACUCUGUAAUUUGUGACAGUGAGGAGUUGAGUUCACUCUCCUAU